rnacentral:rRNA from 1 species
UACGUAGGGUGCAAGCGUUAAUCGGAAUUACUGGGCGUAAAGCGUGCGCAGGCGGUCAUGCAAGACAGAUGUGAAAUCCCCGGGCUCAACCUGGGAACUGCAUUUGUGACUGCAUGGCUGGAGUGCGGCAGAGGGGGAUGGAAUUCCGCGUGUAGCAGUGAAAUGCGUAGAUAUGCGGAGGAACACCGAUGGCGAAGGUAAUCCCCUGGGCCUGCACUGACGCUCAUGCACGAAAGCGUGGGGAGCAAACAGG